ACCGGCACAUGGGACAUGACAAAGACGUGCAUCGUGGGUACUACAGACUGUCAGACGCUACUCACGAACUGACGCGUGCCUCCAUCCUGAUGAUGAAGCUGGACGAAGGAUGCCUCUCAAAAUAUAGCGGACGGAGCCUGGAGGAGAUGCUCACUGAAGAGGACUUCGACGAGCCAGGCUCUGAAAAUGAGGGCGGUCCGGCUGAUGAUCGCCAAGAGGACGAUGAAGGAGGCCAUGAACAGCGGAAGAAGGACCGCAAAAAAAAGUAAGUGAAAGGUUUGGCGCCUUACAUCG